GAUUAUCUAUGAAAUAGUACUGCACCACGUUGGUUGUUGCGAUAGUUGAUCUACAAUUAGACAAAUAAGAUAAUAUUGUCGUUCAACGGUGACUAAAUUUCUGCAAAAUGAACUUAUUCUUCCAAUAGGAAUUGCCGCUGUCACUUAAUAACCAGAGUUUCUUAUCCGUAUCCUCAGAAAAUGGCUACGUUAUAUGUCAACAUAACACAUAUAUGUACUAUAUGUUGGAGUUGUGGUCGGGUGGAAAUUAUGUUAUCUGUAUUAUAGUUAUGAUCAAUUGAAAGAUGCACUUUUUUUGGGUACUUUCUGUUAAUUUUCCGUGCUACUGCGUAAUAAUUUCUCAUUGAAACAACAUAUUCCUACUUUUUCCUACGUCUUUAAAACUUAUCACAACCUUUUAGUGUCAUUUAAAAUGUACCUGACAUUUUGUUGGCAAUGAAAUGCUCUAUACGUCGCAGACAACCGACCAAGAUUGAUGAGAUACAGUCAGCAAAAUUCUUCGAGGGCUACUUUGUCACUUGUGCUGGCGCCAAAAGACAAUGAAAUUGUACCAAUUGCUAAUAUUUAGUCACAACCUCAUAAAUACAACUCUUUUAUGUAGAAGGUAAAUUAUCAUUGCCGACUAAUGACCAAGAUUUCUAUGAGUUACUGUGUUCACACUGCGAGCAACAGUACAGAACUCAUUCGCCGAAAAUUAUUCGUUGUGCGAGCUGCAACCAAAGUGUGAUGUUAACACCCAGGGCCCGCUUUGAGGUUGUAAUGACAGAUGACAGUGGAUCAGCGGUUGCAACAUUAUUAGGCGAACUAGCAGAGAAAUUUCUUGAUAUGACUGCCACAAAUAUCUGUGAAAUAAUCUCGGUAAAGGUCCCAAAUUGUUCUGUUGGUGGCCUAAUUUUGAAGAGCAUGUAAAAUACAAAACCUUGAUAGGUUCCAACUGGGCUUUUUCACAAAUAAUAUCAUUUUAGAGCUUUCAUUUUCACUGUGGUGGCCGAAACAUAACCUGGACCAAGACUAACCGGCCCAACAUCAGGUCCAGUCCAGAGAAGCCAAAGCCUAACUCGUGCAACGCUCAAUUCCAAGAUGGCACACAAAUCUAACCCAUUUCUAAGCUCUUAAACUGUAAUAAUCCAGUUUUAGGAUGCACCAAACAAACAAGAACUUUAAUUGCUUUCCUUUACUUUUUACUUGUCAAUUCUUGCAUUUAGAUUUUGUUCAUUCUGUUUUGAUCUUAUUUUUAAUGCUAUCAG